CUUGAAAUUUUUAGAUGAACUCGCUCAUAAAUUGGUCAUCAAGCAUGAUCUCAGGCCAGCAGAAAGGAGUCCCAUUUCCAUCACAGCUAGUAAUACUACAACCAUCCCCCUGGUUGGCAACCGAGACAUCAGUGAGAGGAGGAAGAGGUGAUGCAAAUGGUGUUCUUGGCUUGUUGUUCUCUCCCUGGUUAAACCCAGAAAAGUUUGAGCAUUGUUUGGUAUCAUUGCUUUCAGGUGGCUCAAAGAAGGAUGCCAAUUGGUUGCUGCUAUCAAUAUUCUGAGGAGGAUUGUGAGAAGGGAAAGACGAAGUCAUCUGAGAACUAAGCAGGCUUAUGGUCUCCAAGUCACUACAGUUGUAGCAGUUAUUUGAGGUGGCACUGACCGACUGU
rnacentral:lncRNA from 1 species